UACGUAGGGGGCAAGCGUUGUCCGGAAUUAUUGGGCGUAAAGCGCGCGCAGGCGGUCAUUUAAGUCUGGUGUUUAAAACCUUGGGCUCAACCUGGGGUCGCACUGGAAACUGGGUGACUUGAGUACAGAAGAGGAAAGUGGAAUUCCACGUGUAGCGGUGAAAUGCGUAGAUAUGUGGAGGAACACCAGUGGCGAAGGCGAACUUUCUGG
rnacentral:rRNA from 1 species